GUACCCUGCCUUCGCAGCUCAAACACUGAAGUCCACCUUCAAUAACUUAGGAAAAAGCAAAAAGAUUUCUCUUUUCAUACAAGGUCAGUUCCCCCUCAAUGAAAUUUCAAGUGGGUAACUCAAGAAAAUUCUUGAAAUGAAGUGUCUAAAACAUUUUCGUAAAUUUUCAACCUUUCUUGAUUUACCCAAAAAUACCCACCAAAGAAAAAAAUUGGACCCAAUUCCGUUGCCUCAUAGAACCAUUUCUGAACCUAAAGGUCAAGAUCUUGAUUUUAUUAAUGUAGCUCAUAGUCACCUUAUACAUUCUGAUUGGUCUAAGCUUGAGAUUUUAGCUUCUGGUUUAACCCCAUUUAGAGUAAAGCACAUUUUAUUGAAAAUUCAAAAAGAUUAUGUUUUGUCACUUGAAUUCUUCAAUUGGGUUGAGGUUAAAAACCCUAAUUCAAAUACCCUUGAGAAUCAUUCCAUUGUUCUUCAUGUUGUUACUAAGAAUAAGAAGUUUAAAUCAGCUGAAUCAAUUUUGAGGAAGCUUGUUAAAUCAGGUUGUGUUGAAUUUCCUGCUAAAUUAUUUGAAGCUAUACUGUUAUCGUAUCGAAUGUGCGAUUCUUCGCCGCGUGUUUUUGACUCAUUGUUUAAGUGUCAUGCUCAUUUGAAGAAGUUUAGAAAUGCCAGUGAUACAUUUCGUAGUAUGAAGCAGUAUGGUUUUGUUCCUACUGUUGAGUCUUGCAAUGCUUUUAUGAGCUCAUUGCUUAGUUUGGAUAGGACAGAUGUUGUAUUGGGUUUUUAUAAGGAGAUGCGUCAUUCAAGGAUUUCGCCUAAUGUUUACACUUUUAAUAUGGUUAUGAGUGCUUUUACCAAAUUGGGAAAACUAGAAAAGGCUGUUGAGGUUUUUAGGGAAAUGGAGAACAUAAGCUUGAAACCGACUGUUGUGUCUUAUAACACUUUGAUGACUGGACAUUGUAACCGCGGCCUCUUGAGUUUCGCGUUGAAACUUAAGAGUGCGAUGGAGAAGAAUGGGGUAUGUCCAGAUAGUGUUACUUAUAACGCUCUUAUUCACGGUUUAUGUAAAGAACGGAAAUUACAUGAAGCAAACAAACUUUUUAGCGAGAUGAAGAGGAUCGGUGUGGCUCCUAAUGUUGUCACGUAUAAUACAUUGAUAAAUGCAUAUAGCCAGGUUGGUAAUUCUGAAAUGGGAAGUCGGCUUUUUGAGGAGAUGACGAACAAUGGAUUGAAGGGUGAUAUAUUGACUUACAAUGCAUUGAUUUUGGGACUGUCCAAAGAGGGAAAGACAAAGAAAGCUGCAUUUUUGGUCAAAGAACUUGAUAAGGCAAAUUUGGUUCCUAAUUCCUCUACUUUCUCUGCUUUGAUUAGUGGACAGUGUGCAAGAAGGAAUCCCGACCGUGCCUUUCAACUCUAUAAAAGCAUGGUCAGAGGUGGUUGUCACCCGAAUAAGCCAACUUUGACUCUAUUAACGUCCACCUUCCUCAAGAAUGAGGAUUAUGAUGGAGCAUUGGAAGUCUUGAAAGAGAUGUUAGAAAGAUCUAUUACCCCUGAUUUGGGUAUGUUAACCGAAAUAUGUAACUCACUUCUCAGAUGCGGCAGAGAAGGAACGAUCAUAAAACUAUUACAAGAUAUAGAAGCUAGACGCCUCAUCCCUGAAGGUUUUGAUAAAGCAACAAUAAUUAGUUCUAUGGACUGAAGAUAGAAUGUAAAGUUUUUACAAGAAAUAGAAGCUAGACACCUCAUUGCCAAAGGUUUUGUUAUGGCAACAAUGAUUAGUUCUACGAGAAGAUAGAAUCUCAAUGUUUUACGUCGAGCAUUGACAUAGUUAUGGUCUAUAAGUUUCCCCAAGGGGUGGCCUAGCAGUCGAUAGUUGAAGCAGCAAGUCGACAACCUCGGGACCAACAUUUGAAUCCAAACUGAGGCAGCACUACGUGAGAUCUUACAUCUACCCAAGUCUUGGUAAGAUAUAUGGUACCUGUGUUGGUCGGAGAUAGUAGGUAUCUGUUGGAUUAAUCGAUACACACACAAGCUUGGCACAAACACUUUGUUUUAUCUUAGGAAGCAAAGUUGGAUAUUAUAAUAAGGAUAAAUAUAUUCCAAAUUUUGCCUUGUCCUGAUUUCUGAAACC